UGCUGGCGUGGAUGUAUGUUUGUCCAGUGUU
rnacentral:piRNA from 1 species